rnacentral:tRNA from 1 species
UCCCCUGUGGUGUAAUUGGUAACACAGCUGUUUUUGGUACAGUCAUUUCAGGUUCAAGUCCUGGCGGGGGAACCA